rnacentral:rRNA from 1 species
CGUAGGUGCAAGCGUUGUCCGGAAUUAUUGGGCGUAAAGAGCUCGUAGGCGGCUUGUCGCGUCGGCUGUGAAAACCCGGGCUCAACCCCGGGCCUGCAGUCGAUACGGGCAGGCUAGAGUCCGGCAGGGGAGACUGGAAUUCCUGGUGUAGCGGUGAAAUGCGCAGAUAUCAGGAGGAACACCGGUGGCGAAGGCGGGUCUCUGGGCCGGAACUGACGCUAAGGAGCGAAAAGCGUGGGGAGCGAACCAGGAUUAGAUACCCUGGUAGUCCACGCUGUAAACGUUGGGCGCUAGGUGUGGGGGACCUUCCACGGCCUCCGUGCCGCAGCUAACGCAUUAAGCGCCCCGCCUGGGGGAGUACGGCCGCAAGGCUA